UCCUUUCUUCAAUACAGUCCCAUCUGGGAAUAUGUCAUCCUCAACUACCUCCUUGUGAUCCACAGGGACUGAAGGAUACAACCUCAAGGCUUCAGACAAUGCAGCUUGCAAAUAAUCCAUCUUCUUUAUCUCUUCUGGUCUAAACACCAAUGGACUUUUAGGGUCAAAUUCUUGCCUCUCCUUUACUAUCUUGCAUAUUUCAGCGAGAAUUUUGUCCUCUACUAGAGAAUGUUGAUCAAGAAGCCAGAAAAACCAACUCAAUGCCACUGAAGAAGUAUCCCUACCAGCUAAUAUGAAGUUUACGCAUAUAUCUCUCAAGAACUUGUCUGAAAAUGGCUGUCCAUUCUCAUCUUUCAAUCCCAUAAACACCGUCAAGAGAUCUGAUCUUUG
rnacentral:misc_RNA from 1 species